GAGGAACGCGGGCGGCGUGCCUAAUACAUGCAAGUCGAGCGAACAGACGAGGAGCUUGCUCCUCUGAUGUUAGCGGCGGACGGGUGAGUAACACGUGGAUAACCUACCUAUAAGACUGGGAUAACUUCGGGAAACCGGAGCUAAUACCGGAUAACAUGUUGAACCGCAUGGUUCAACAGUGAAAGACGGUCUUGCUGUCACUUAUAGAUGGAUCCGCGCCGCAUUAGCUAGUUGGUAAGGUAACGGCUUACCAAGGCAACGAUGCGUAGCCGACCUGAGAGGGUGAUCGGCCACACUGGAACUGAGACACGGUCCAGACUCCUACGGGAGGCAGCAGUAGGGAAUCUUCCGCAAUGGGCGAAAGCCUGACGGAGCAACGCCGCGUGAGUGAAGAAGGUCUUCGGAUCGUAAAACUCUGUUAUUAGGGAAGAACAAAUGUGUAAGUAACUAUGCACGUCUUGACGGUACCUAAUCAGAAAGCCACGGCUAACUACGUA
rnacentral:rRNA from 1 species